UGUCCGAUGGUGUAAUGGUAGCACACGGGCCUUUGGAGCCCUUAGUCCUGGUUCGAAUCCAGGUCGGACAGCCA
rnacentral:tRNA from 1 species